rnacentral:misc_RNA from 1 species
CGCUCCCUGUUUUGCAUUUUUCGCUGCGCUACUUUACGGCAGCGUAGGUUCCGCAGCUUUGCUGUGCUCUUUCCAUUUUGCCUGGUACUGCAUUGGAGGCCGUCUGCACAUUGGGCAAAGCACAACGAGGCCCAAUUAUCCUGGAGCGCACUGGCUCGAGAUGCAGAGAAAGACGUACACUUCAUCUGCUUCACAUGCAAAAAAAAAUCACAAAGAGUCUCAUGAAGAUUACAUGCGAUACGCGCUUCUGCAAGAGAUGCGAUGACCAUCGUGUGUAGAAGACUCUCUACGAUGCCCGCUAGGGAGCUAGCUAUACAUUGGAGCGUUGCACUGCAGAUAGCGUGGACCUGUUGCUGUGAACGCUGAGGAAGUGCUGGAUUGUAAAGGCGCGGUCAGUUUUUCACCUGCACUUGACUCACUCUCAGUUCUAUGUUGGCCUCCCGUUGCGGGUGGUAACCUUCAGUUUUCACUUUCAAGAUUUGAAUUACUUUCCUUUCAGUCUCUAUCGCAAAUGAACAGUGCACUGGCGCGUUAAAGCAAGACGUUUUUCUUUCCCUUCGCCGGCCUCACUUCCACCAUUUUUCUGUUUGCUCACUACCCCGUGCGUGUUCAAAGUAUAGACGCAAAAGCCUGGCUCAGUUGUCUGCAUCAACAGAAUUUCCCUUGUAACCAGUCUCAAUGUGAAAGAAGACAAAGUGCAAACGCCCCGAAACCUGUUGGACGUACGAGUUUAGCGACUUUACUUAUAAAUAUUGAGUAGAGAUACUACACCAGGAAAAAGACAAAAGAUGCUUUCGUGACAUGCACUACGGAUACUCUUCUGCUGCUUUUUGCUCCUGAUGUCGGAGGACACCUCAGUGCGUGGCACCGGUGCCCAGUACCAUACUCUAUGCGGGAAGACAGGCAGCUCUUCUAUCCCAGUCAGUGCACAGCCACUUCUAGUGGUGACGGCAUCAGGCACCUAGGGCGUGGUGAUGUCAGAGCGAUGUAGCGCUACUAAUGCCGGCGGUCAGAUGGUGGAUAGCGUUGCGUUGGCGUCAUCUGCGGCAGUGGGCACGCUUGUUCCAUCCAUUUGAUGGGCAGAGCGUCAGCGUGACCCGAACACCACCCACCCGACU